AUCGCUUCUCGGCCUUUUGGCUAAGAUCAAGUGAAGUACUUAAUUCGUUCUGGAGGUCCGUUCUUAACCUGAAACUGUUCUUAACCUGAAGCACUACUU